rnacentral:rRNA from 1 species
UACGUAGGCAGCGAGCGUUGUUCGGAGUUACUGGGCGUAAAGAGUGCGUAGGCGGUUUUCUAAGUUUGGUGUGAAAUCUCCCGGCUUAACUGGGAGGGUGCGCCGAAAACUGGAAGGCUUGAGUAUGGGAGAGGUAAGCGGAAUUCUUGGUGUAGCGGUGAAAUGCGUAGAUAUCAAGAGGAACACCUGCGGCGAAGGCGGGUUGCUGGGCUGACACUGACGCUGAAGCGCGAAAGCUAGGGGAGCGAACGGG